rnacentral:lncRNA from 1 species
ACCUUAAAAAAACUAAAAUGACCAAAAUAACAUUUUAUCUUUUGAAAGAUUUAAAUUUUUUUUUAUUUUUCAAAAUUUGAAAUCUUAUCCCAAAACCCCUCUCCCCAACUCUAAACUAUAAACUCUAAACUCUAAACUCUAAAUCCUAAACCCUAAAUCCUAAACCCCACCUCUAAACCCUAAAUCCUAAAUCCUAAACGCUAAACCCUAAAUCUUAAACCCCAUCCCUUAACUCUAAACCCUAAACCCUAAACCCCACCCCUAAACUCUAAACCCUAAACUCUAAACCAUAAACCCUAAACCCUAAACCAUAAAUCCUAAACCCCACCCCUUAAUUCUAAACCCU